rnacentral:rRNA from 1 species
CCGGCACGGGUGAGUAACACGUAUGCAAUCCACCUGUAACAGGGGGAUAACCCGGAGAAAUCCGGACUAAUACCCCAUAAUAUGGGCGCUCCGCAUGGAGAGUUCAUUAAAGAGAGCAAUUUUGGUUACAGACGAGCAUGCGCUCCAUUAGCCAGUUGGCGGGGUAACGGCCCACCAAGGCGACGAUGGAUAGGGGUUCUGAGAGGAAGGUCCCCCACAUUGGAACUGAGACACGGACCAG